GAAGCUGUUCACUGCCUCAUUCUCCUGGUCUGAGUAGAACUCAUCCAAAUUAAUCAGAGAAGAAGGAGAACAAAUACUUUCUGUUCUCCAGGGGCUGUUCUGAGCACUUUGCAUGGAUGAAUUCCUUCGUCUCAGAAAACCCUUGAGGAUGGCAAAGCUGAGACCCAGGCUUUCAGGAGCAGCACACAUAAGUGACCAAAGGAGCACAGAGGCAAGAAAUACUAUUAAUACUGAAAGGAACUGGAUAUGGUCUCACAGCAUCCAGCCUCAGAUGAUAUCAGAAACACACAAAUAUAGGAUCAUUACCUCCACUUUAAGGAUAAACAAACUGACAUUGCUAUGGUAGUAAAUGGUCGACUCCAAAUUCAAAUACAGUCCCACCUGGCGACACAGCAGAGUGGUAAUGAGCACAGAUUUGAGUCCCAUGCUUCCACUUGGGAUUCUGUAGAGUGAAGAGAAAAGGGUUUCCAGAGUUUGGGAGUCUCUGAAGCUGUCUGGAGUUUUAACUGCCCUCUCUGAAAUACGUGUUACAGGUCUGUCUUGUGGUUUGAGUGCCUACCUGGCUUUGGAAUAUUAUAAUCAUAAAAGAAAAAAGAGAGGAGACCACGCUGGG